rnacentral:rRNA from 1 species
GACGAACGCUGGCGGCGUGCUUAACACAUGCAAGUCGAACGGAAAGGCCCUGCUUUUGUGGGGUGCUCGAGUGGCGAACGGGUGAGUAACACGUGAGUAACCUGCCCUUGACUUUGGGAUAACUUCAGGAAACUGGGGCUAAUACAGGAUAGGAGCUCCUGCUGCAUGGUGGGGGUUGGAAAGUUUCGGCGGUUGGGGAUGGACUCGCGGCUUAUCAGCUUGUUGGUGGGGUAGUGGCUUACCAAGGCAUUGACGGGUAGCCGGCCUGAGAGGGUGACCGGCCACAUUGGGACUGAGAUACGGCCCAGACUCCUACGGGAGGCAGCAGUGGGGAAUAUUGCACAAUGGGCGGAAGCCUGAUGCAGCAACGCCGCGUGCGGGAUGACGGCCUUCGGGUUGUAAACCGCUUUCGCCUGUGACGAAGCGUGAGUGACGGUAAUGGGUAAAGAAGCACCGGCUAACUACGUG